rnacentral:rRNA from 1 species
AUUGAACGCUGGCGGCAUGCUUUACACAUGCAAGUCGAACGGGCUUGGGGGCUUGCUCCCAAGUUAGUGGCGAACGGGUGAGUAAUACAUCGGAACGUACCGUGUAGUGGGGGAUAACGUAGCGAAAGUUACGCUAAUACCGCAUACAAUCUACGGAUGAAAGCAGGGGACCUUCGGGCCUUGUGCUAUACGAGCGGCCGAUGUCUGAUUAGCUAGUUGGUGAGGUAAAGGCUCACCAAGGCGACGAUCAGUAGCGGGUCUGAGAGGAUGAUCCGCCACACUGGGACUGAGACACGGCCCAGACUCCUACGGGAGGCAGCAGUGGGGAAUUUUGGACAAUGGGCGAAAGCCUGAUCCAGCCAUGCCGCGUGUCUGAAGAAGGCCUUCGGGUUGUAAGGACUUUGUCAGGGAGCAAACUUACUGGUUAAUACCCGGUGAGGCUGAGAGUACCUGAAGAAUAAGCACCGGCUAACUACGUGCCAGCAGCCGCGGUAAUCUGAGUCGGAG